GACGAACGCUGGCGGCGUGCUUAACACAUGCAAGUCGAACGGUGAAGCGCCUUCCUUUUUGGUGGGUGUGGAUGAGUGGCGAACGGGUGAGUAACACGUGAGUAACCUGCCCCCUUCUUCUGGAUAACCGCAUGAAAGUGUGGCUAAUACGGGAUAUUCUGGGUCUGUCGCAUGAUGGGUCUGGGAAAGAUAUUGUUUCGGUGGGGGAUGGGCUCGCGGCCUAUCAGCUUGUUGGUGGGGUGAUGGCCUACCAAGGCGGUGACGGGUAGCCGGCCUGAGAGGGUGGACGGGCACACUGGGACUGAGACACGGCCCAGACUCCUACGGGAGGCAGCAGUGGGGAAUAUUGCACAAUGGGCGCAAGCCUGAUGCAGCGACGCCGCGUGAGGGAUGGAGGCCUUCGGGUUGUGAACCUCUUUCGCAAGUGAAGCAGGCCUGCCUCGUUUGUGGGUGGGUUGACGGUAGCUGGAUAAGAAGCGCCGGCUAACUACGUG
rnacentral:rRNA from 1 species